GAACUCGUCAGGUACAUCUGAUCCAGCU
rnacentral:sRNA from 1 species